rnacentral:rRNA from 1 species
CUGAUGGAGUGACGAAGAAGGCUAGGAUCCGAUUCUUAGUGGAUUGAAUACGAGAUAUCAAGAGGGGAUGUAGGCAAAUCCGCAUCUAGAAAUCAAGAUAUGACAGGUAAAGGAUAACGAAGUCAAGCUUCCAAGAAAAGCUUCUAGGGUUAAUCAUUAUACUACCAGUACCGUAAACCGACACAGGUGGGUAGGAAGAGAAUUCUAAGACGCGCGAGAAAACCCUUGUUAAGGAACUCUGCAAGUUGGCCCCGUAAGUUCGCAAUAAGGGGAGCUCAUGUAAAAGUGAGCCACAGAAAAGAAGCCCAAGCAACUGUUUAACAAAAACACAGGUUUAUGCAAAACCGUAAGGUGAAGUAUAUGAGCUGACACCUGCCCGGCGCUGGAAGGUUAAAAGGAGAGGUUAGAGCAAUCGAAGCCUUGAAUUGAAGCCCCAGUAAACGGCGGCCGUAACGAUAACGGUCCUAAGGUAGCGAAAUUCCUUGUCAGGUAAGUUCUGACCCGCACGAAAGGUGUAAUGUCUUUGGGCACUGUCUCAACAGGGGACUCGGUGAAGUCAAACUGCCGGUGAAAAUGCCGGCUACCCGCGAUUAGACGGAAAGACCCCAUGGAGCUUUACUGUAGGUUGAUAUUGAUAUUUGGUAUGUAAUGUACAGGAUAGGUGGGAGACUAUGAAGCUAGGACGUUAGUCUUGGUGGAGUCGACGUUGGGAUACCACCCUUUGCCUAUCGAGUAUCUAACUAGUGUAAGUGGAUUACAAAGGACACUGUCAGUUGGGCAGUUUGACUGGGGCGGUCGCCUCCUAAAGAGUAACGGAGGCGCUCGAAGGUUCCCUCAGAAUGGUUGGUAAUCAUUCGCAGAGUGUAAACGCAGAAGGGAGCUUGACUGCAAGACAAACAAGUCGAGCAGGGACGAAAGUCGGAGUUAGUGAUCUUACGGUACCGCGUGGAAGGGCCGUGACUCAACGGAUAAAAGCUACCCUGGGGAUAACAGGCUGAUCACGCCCAAGCGCUCACAGCGACGGCGUGGUUUGGCACCUCGAUGUCGGCUCGUCGCAUCCUGGAGGUGGAUAAGCUUCCAAGGGUUGGGCUGUUCGCCCAUUAAAGCGGCACGCGAGCUGGGUUCAAAACGUCGUGAGACAGUUUGGUCCCUAUCUGUCGUGGGCGUUGGAAAUUUGAAGAGAGCUGUCCUUAGUACGAGAGGACCGGGAUGGACAUACCACUGGUGUACCAGUUAGCCUGCCAGGGCUAUAAGCUGGGUAGCUACGUAUGGAACGGAUAAACGCUGAAAGCAUCUAAGCGUGAAGCCUCCUCUAAGAUUAGAUUUCCCACAGAAAUGGUAAGACCCCUUAUAGACUAUAAGGUUGAUAGGCUAGGUGUGGAAGCGCAGUGAUGCGUGGAGCUGACUAGUACUAAUAGGUCGAGGACUUAACCU